UACGAAGGGGGGCUAGCGUUGUUCGGAUUUACUGGGCGUAAAGCGCACGUAGGCGGAUCGUUAAGUCGGGGGUGAAAUCCUGGAGCUCAACUCCAGAACUGCCUUCGAUACUGGCGAUCUUGAGUCCGGAAGAGGUGAGUGGAAUUCCUAGUGUAGAGGUGGAAUUCGUAGAUAUUAGGAAGAACACCAGUGGCGAAGGCGGCUCAGCUGGUCCGGUACUGACGCUGAGGUGCGAAAGCGUGGGGAGCAAACAGG
rnacentral:rRNA from 1 species